CCUGCCCAAUGAACUUUAAAUAGCCGCUCUAAGUGCUAAGGUAGCAUAAUAAAUUACUCUUUAAUUAAGAGACAGAAUGAAAGGAAGCCCGAUUUAUUAAUUAUACUAAACUAUUUACAUAAAAUUUCAAUUAUUAGUAAAAAUCCUAUAACCAUCCUAGCAGGACGACAAGACCCUUCUGAACUUUAACUAAUCAAUUCCACUGGGAAGGUAAAAAACAAAAUCUUUACUCCCCUUUACAAUACACGCUUACACAGAAUAAAACUAAGUUACCAUAGGGAUAACAGCAUAAUAAUUUAAAAAAGCCCUCAUCCAAUAAAUUGAUUAUGACCUCGAUGUUGAAUUAACAUACUAUAUACUGAAAAAAGUACAAAAGAAAGUCUGUUCGACUUUUAAAACGUUACAU
rnacentral:rRNA from 1 species